rnacentral:rRNA from 1 species
AUGGGAACGCGAAGAACCUUACCUAGACUUGACAUCUCCUGAAUAGUGUAGAGAUACAUGAAGCCCUUCGGGGCAGGAAGACAGGUGGUGCAUGGCUGUCGUCAGCUCGUGUCGUGAGAUGUUGGGUUAAGUCCCGCAACGAGCGCAACCCUUAUUACUAGUUGCUACCAUUAAGUUGAGCACUCUAGUGAGACUGCCCGGGUUAACCGGGAGGAAGGCGGGGAUGACGUCAAAUCAUCAUGCCCCUUAUGUCUAGGGCAACACACGUGCUACAAUGGUGAGUACAGAUAGAUGCGAUACCGCAAGGUGGAGCCAAACUCUAAAACUCAUCCCAGUUCGGAUUGUAGGCUGCAACUCGCCUACAUGAAGUUGGAGUUGCUAGUAAUCGCGAAUCAGAAUGUCGCGGUGAAUACGUUCCCGGGUCUUGUACACACCG